GAUGAACGCUGGCGGCGUGCCUAAUACAUGCAAGUCGAGCGAACAGACGAGGAGCUUGCUCCUCUGACGUUAGCGGCGGACGGGUGAGUAACACGUGGAUAACCUACCUAUAAGACUGGGAUAACUUCGGGAAACCGGAGCUAAUACCGGAUAAUAUAUCGAACCGCAUGGUUCAAUAGUGAAAGACGGUUUUGCUGUCACUUAUAGAUGGAUCCGCGCCGCAUUAGCUAGUUGGUAAGGUAACGGCUUACCAAGGCAACGAUGCGUAGCCGACCUGAGAGGGUGAGCGGCCACACUGGAACUGAGACACGGUCCAGACUCCUACGGGAGGCAGCAGUAGGGAAUCUUCCGCAAUGGGCGAAAGCCUGACGGAGCAACGCCGCGUGAGUGAUGAAGGUCUUCGGAUCGUAAAACUCUGUUAUUAGGGAAGAACAAAUGUGUAAGUAACUAUGCACGUCUUGACGGUACCUAAUCAGAAAGCCACGGCUAACUACGUG
rnacentral:rRNA from 1 species